UUACAUUUCAAUACAAACAAAAUUUAUAUACAAAAUACAAAAUUAUUAAUUUAUAGCAAAAUUUUAAAUUUAUAACAAAAAUAUUUAAUCCAAAAUUAUUUUUCCCUGAAAACUAGUCACAUUUGGAAUUUUUUGUUAAAUUCAUUAUUAUUAAAUUUUUUCGAAAUAAAGCUAUUAAUAUAUUCACUCCAAUUGCACAAUAACCCUUCCUUCGUAUCACGCUUAAUCCCUUCUUUCACUGGCAGUCGCUCUUCUAUUAAAUUUCUGCUGUACUUGCACUUGACCCAGCUGUUCUAGCUUCAUUUCGGCGGUGCAAAAGAGUUGCAAUGCUUUUUGCAUGACAAAAACAAAUCCCACAAAUAAGAAGUUGCAGGCGAUCGGAUGAUUUUGCAGCAACUUCAACAUUUUCGUUUUUUAAUAUUAAUUUUGUAUUCUAAGUAAAUCGAGUUUAAGCGGCGUGAACGCACAAGCACUGGUUUAAUGCGGCGGCGAAGAGUGACUGAUAUUUGGCAGUGAAGUGUUGAGGGAUUAAGAGCCAAAGCAAGCAGUCAAUGAAGCAGGCGGUUGAAACAUAUCAUAAACGCCAAAAAGUUUUCGGAGGAGCUGCCAAUAGCAAAACAACGUGCCGUGAUUGGUUUCGUUGCUUUAAACAAGGCGAUUUUGAAGGAAGACCAAAAAUCUUUGAAGGCGGUGAAUUGGAGAUGUUGCUCAAUGAGGAUCCAU